rnacentral:rRNA from 1 species
GCAGAACGCGAAGAACCUUACCUACUCUUGACAUCCAGAGAACUUAGCAGAGAUGCUUUGGUGCCUUCGGGAACUCUGAGACAGGUGCUGCAUGGCUGUCGUCAGCUCGUGUUGUGAAAUGUUGGGUUAAGUCCCGCAACGAGCGCAACCCUUAUCCUUUGUUGCCAGCGGUUCGGCCGGGAACUCAAAGGAGACUGCCAGUGAUAAACUGGAGGAAGGUGGGGAUGACGUCAAGUCAUCAUGGCCCUUACGAGUAGGGCUACACACGUGCUACAAUGGCGUAUACAAAGAGAAGCGACCUCGCGAGAGCAAGCGGACCUCAUAAAGUACGUCGUAGUCCGGAUUGGAGUCUGCAACUCGACACCAUGAAGUCGGAAUCGCUAGUAAUCGUAGAUCAGAAUGCUACGGUGAAUACGUUCCCGGGUCUUGUACACACCG